rnacentral:ncRNA from 1 species
AUAAAAACUGUGAUAAGGAAGAGUAUGCAAACUACUGUCUUAAGAGAGAGAAACUCACCGGCUGAAAAGUUUCUUAGAUAAGUUUUGUUGAAAACCACCUUUGAGUUGAGUAUUGAAUUGAAUUAGAUAUCUCCGCUUCCAGCGUUAUCGGAUUGAGACACAGAUGCUUUUUUGUUGUAUCUGUAAUUUGGGUGGAACCACGGCAACCUCGUCCCUUGU